UGGGGAAUAUUGCACAAUGGGCGCAAGCCUGAUGCAGCCAUGCCGCGUGUGUGAAGAAGGCCUUCGGGUUGUAAAGCACUUUCAGCGAGGAGGAAGGGUAGUGUGUUAAUAGCACAUUGCAUUGACGUUACUCGCAGAAGAAGCACCGGCUAACUCCGUGCCAGCAGCCGCGGUAAUACGGAGGGUGCAAGCGUUAAUCGGAAUUACUGGGCGUAAAGCGCACGCAGGCGGUUUGUUAAGUCAGAUGUGAAAUCCCCGCGCUUAACGUGGGAACUGCAUUUGAAACUGGCAAGCUAGAGUCUUGUAGAGGGGGGUAGGAUUCCAGGUGUAGCGGUGAAAUGCGUAGAGAUCUGGAGGAAUACCGGUGGCGAAGGCGGCCCCCUGGACAAAGACUGACGCUCAGGUGCGAAAGCGUGGGGAGCAAACA
rnacentral:rRNA from 1 species